AAUUCCCCAUAUGAGAAUGCAACCUAUCCUCUUGAUCUUAGAAAGUUAUGAGAUUACAGUUUAAGGGAAUAACAAAUCUCUUUCAUCACUAAAAGUAAUCAUCAUACAGGUGCCAAAUUCCAAACACGGCAGAGCAAGACUAUUUGACUCAGCCGAUAAAAGGUAGGUGCAUGAAUAAAAUAAGGAACAAAGUGUUUUUGUGCCACUAAUCUGCAUCCAUCUCUUCAAGUGCAGCUUUAGCCGCAGCCUUGGCUUCCUCUAACAAAUCGGCAGGAACCUAUGGCAACAUUAAAUAGCAGCACGAGUUACCAACCAGAUUUUUAUUUCAGUUAACAUCAAUUACAUUCAUUCACCAUUAUGAUAUACAUUGCAUGCAGACAAAAUAAAAGUAUGAUGGAAAAUUACAAAAGUAAUAAAUAAGCUAAAAAUGUCAUUUGCUUUAAUAUCUUUGUUUUUGCUUCUGUGACAGGUGCAGGCAAAAAAUCAAGAAAAUGUCGAGUCAACAUUAGCAUUUAACACAAAGAUAUCAGUUCCUAUUAAAAGUGUCCUCGGAAGGAUAGUGAAUCACCUUCUGAUGCUGUCGGUUAGACUCAUCACACACCCAA
rnacentral:lncRNA from 1 species